rnacentral:lncRNA from 1 species
AUGUGGGGCAGGGCAGUCAGCCUGGCCCCCCUGUCCUGCUGUCCCCGUAUCCCUCCAUCUCAUUGCACCUGUGUCCCACUGUCCCUGUAUCCCCACAUCCCUGCAACCCUCUCUCUGUUCCUCCAUCCCUGCAUUCAUCUGUCCUUCCCUACGUCCCUCCACCCCUCCGCCCCUGCAUCCCUUUGUCCCUCCAUCCCUGCCUCCAUCUCUCCCCCCUUCCCUGCCUGUCUGUGCAUCCAUCUGUCCCUCCGUCCCUCCAUUCCUCUCUCCAUCCCUCUGUCCCUGCAUCCCUGCAUCUAUUUACCCACGACUCCAUCCCUCCCUCCCUCUGUCCUUGCAUCUGUCCCUCUGUCCCUGCAUCCCUCUGUCCCUCCAUCCCUCCAACCAUCCCUGUCCGUACCGCUGUGCCCUCGAGGAGGAAGAUGGCAGCUGUGGAUGAGGACUGCUCUGGCACCAUGCGCCGGUGCCAGCAGCGCCGCCGGCACACAUCACCCGCACGGCGCUGCAGGUGGAAGCAGCCGCCCCACAGGGACGCGUACUCCCAUGCUUUAUCAGGAGCCUCGGGGCUGUGCUGUGGGGAUGGGUGGCACAAAGGUGACAGUGGCACGGUGUGGGGAGAGAAGGGUGCUCAGAGCAGGGGGCUGGUGGCCAAACACUUGUCCCUGCCACCCCAUCCUUGCCACCCACCCCCAUCCUUGCCAUUCCAUCCCUGACACCCCAGCUGUGCUUCUCCACUCUGGUCACCCUGCCACCCCAUCCUUGUCACCCCCAACCUCACCACUCCAUUUUUACCACCCCAUCCCUGCCACCCUCAUAUCCACCACCCUUACAAAUGCCACCCCAUCCCCACCACGCCGUCCUCUGCCACCCUCAUAUCUGCCGCCCUGUUCCCACCAUUCCAUCCUUGUCACUCCCACCCUGUCACCCUCUUCCUUGACACCCCACCCCUGCCACCCCAUUCCCACUGCCCCAUUCCCACCCCGACCCGCUGGAGGAAGACUCUGGUGUCCUGCUCCUGUUCCUGGGCACCGCUGUCCCUACGCCGGGUGCGCAGCCAUCGCCGCCGCCGCUGCGUGUGGUACGUCUCCUCUUUGGGGUGCCACGCAGGUGAGGGGUCACCGGCUGCCACGCUCACCCCAUACUCCCAGCCUGCAUCACCCACAUUGUCAUUGUCACCUCUGCCACCCCUUCUCCCCCCUCCAACACAGUUCCAUGGGGACGUCGCUCACCAGCCUCAUCCACAGCCUCUGUCACCUCCACCCGCCAGUCAUCGGUGACGUGCCAGCCUUGGGGACAUGGCACCUCCUCCUUGGGGGGCACCGCCGUGCCGGCCUGCAGCGGGCAGAGCUGAGCUCCAGGGUGUUCGUGCCACCCAACAGUGUCCCCGUAUCACCCCCUUCUCACCACGUCAGUGCUGGGCACGGUGGCAGGUCCCCAUUCCCCUCCGUGCUGCCGGCUCUGGUUCUCAUAGACCUCCUCCAGCACCUCCUCCAUGCCAGCCUCAGCGUCCGACAGAAGCCUGGGGACGGGACCAGCUGCUGUCCCCUUGCUGUCCCCAUGCACAGGGAAGGGUGUCCCCUCGGGUCUCACCACCGUGGUGGUUCCACAGCCCAGGGCCCGUCCCAGUGCCAGCCCUUGGGGGGAUGGAUGCGCUCGCGGGGAAGCCCCGCUCUGCCGGUGACAUCGGAGAAGCCAGGGUGA